rnacentral:lncRNA from 1 species
GGAAGCUAAGGAAGCGUUUCUGACGCUCUGGCGCCUGGACUUCCUCUCACCCUCGCCCCCACAUCACCCCGUCGCCACCGGGAGCUGCACGAGUGCGACACGCAAGGGAGCGCAGGUGUCCUCGCGGUCCCGCAUCACAUCCGCAAGCCGAUUUCCCCAGCUCGGGGGCUGUUAUCUGGCCCGGAUUCCGCAGGAUGGCGGGUCCACCCCAGCGCCCCCACUCCCCGCCCUCCUUCGGGUCGCCAGGCCCUCGGGUGAUUCAGAAAUUCAUCAAAUCCAAAUGGCAGCGGGCUCUCUGUCAGGCAGGAAACAAGCCGCACCGAAGGCUCGGCAGGUUCCUCCUUGCUGCUGUGGUAAUGGAAAAGGAGCCGCCGAGUGGAGCUAACGAGGAAGGAAGGACCCUCCGUCUGGCGCGCCUCUUUCCCGCGCCUCCCGCCCUGUACGUGUGAUGUCCCCAGCUGUCUCUCUGUUUCUCCAAGUGCCAACCACUUCACAGAUUCAGGCGUCCUCAAGUGGAGAAAACCAUUGGGCACCCGGCUUCCGGCCCGGCCACUUAGUGUCGUUAUGGCGCUGCCUCUUACAGGUGGCGGUAAAGGGCGACUGUAAAUAGCCGAUUAAACAGAUGUAAAUGUACACAAUGUACCGUGGAAUUACCGGGUGCCGCUCUGGGCACCCGCCAAGAACAGCUACUGCAUGGAGGGGAGGAGGGAGCAAAAAAAAAGUAAUUCCAUUUUGUUUUCUGAUCAAUGAAUGAGACUUUGGGGAUUUCAAAAUACUUCCAGCGCCCAGGAGACUACUCCUUGCUUUUGGCUCUGUGCUUAAAUGGUAGAUAUUUUUGUCAAGUA